ACUUAAAUUGAAGAGUUUGAUCAUGGCUCAGAUUGAACGCUGGCGGCAGGCCUAACACAUGCAAGUCGAGCGGUAGCACAGAGAGCUUGCUCUCGGGUGACGAGCGGCGGACGGGUGAGUAAUGUCUGGGAAACUGCCUGAUGGAGGGGGAUAACUACUGGAAACGGUAGCUAAUACCGCAUAACGUCGCAAGACCAAAGUGGGGGACCUUCGGGCCUCAUGCCAUCAGAUGUGCCCAGAUGGGAUUAGCUAGUAGGUGGGGUAACGGCUCACCUAGGCGACGAUCCCUAGCUGGUCUGUGAGGAUGACCAGCCACACUGGAACUGAGACACGGUCCAGACUCCUACGGGAGGCAGCAGUGGGGAAUAUUGCACAAUGGGCGCAAGCCUGAUGCAGCCAUGCCGCGUGUGUGAAGAAGGCCUUCGGGUUGUAAAGCACUUUCAGCGGGGAGGAAGGCGGUGAGGUUAAUAACCUCACCGAUUGACGUUACCCGCAGAAGAAGCACCGGCUAACUCCGUGCCAGCAGCCGCGGUAAUACGGAGGGUGCAAGCGUUAAUCGGAAUUACUGGGCGUAAAGCGCACGCAGGCGGUCUGUCAAGUCGGAUGUGAAAUCCCCGGGCUCAACCUGGGAACUGCAUUCGAAACUGGCAGGCUAGAGUCUUGUAGAGGGGGGUAGAAUUCCAGGUGUAGCGGUGAAAUGCGUAGAGAUCUGGAGGAAUACCAGUGGCGAAGGCGGCCCCCUGGACAAAGACUGACGCUCAGGUGCGAAAGCGUGGGGAGCAAACAGGAUUAGAUACCCUGGUAGUCCACGCUGUAAACGAUGUCGAUUUGGAGGUUGUGCCCUUGAGGCGUGGCUUCCGGAGCUAACGCGUUAAAUCGACCGCCUGGGGAGUACGGCCGCAAGGUUAAAACUCAAAUGAAUUGACGGGGGCCCGCACAAGCGGUGGAGCAUGUGGUUUAAUUCGAUGCAACGCGAAGAACCUUACCUGGUCUUGACAUCCACAGAACUUUCCAGAGAUGGAUUGGUGCCUUCGGGAACUGUGAGACAGGUGCUGCAUGGCUGUCGUCAGCUCGUGUUGUGAAAUGUUGGGUUAAGUCCCGCAACGAGCGCAACCCUUAUCCUUUGUUGCCAGCGGUCCGGCCGGGAACUCAAAGGAGACUGCCAGUGAUAAACUGGAGGAAGGUGGGGAUGACGUCAAGUCAUCAUGGCCCUUACGACCAGGGCUACACACGUGCUACAAUGGCAUAUACAAAGAGAAGCGACCUCGCGAGAGCAAGCGGACCUCAUAAAGUAUGUCGUAGUCCGGAUUGGAGUCUGCAACUCGACUCCAUGAAGUCGGAAUCGCUAGUAAUCGUAGAUCAGAAUGCUACGGUGAAUACGUUCCCGGGCCUUGUACACACCGCCCGUCACACCAUGGGAGUGGGUUGCAAAAGAAGUAGGUAGCUUAACCUUCGGGAGGGCGCUUACCACUUUGUGAUUCAUGACUGGGGUGAAGUCGUAACAAGGUAACCGUAGGGGAACCUGCGGUUGGAUCACCUCCUUACCUUAAAGAA
rnacentral:rRNA from 1 species